GGAUGAAGAACGUAGCGAAAUGCGAUACGUAAUGUGAAUUGCAAAUUCAGUGAAUCAUCGAGUCUUUGAACGCACAUUGCGCCCCCUGGUAUUCCGGGGGGCAUGCCUGUCCGAGCGUCAUUGCUGCCCUCAAGCACGGCUUGUGUGUUGGGCCCCGUCCUCCGAUCCCGGGGGACGGGCCCGAAAGGCAGCGGCGGCACCGCGUCCGGUCCUCGAGCGUAUGGGGCUUUGUCACCCGCUCUGUAGGCCCGGCCGGCGCUUGCCGAUCAACCCAAAUUUUUAUCCAGGUUGACCUCGGAUCAGGUAGGGAUACCCGCUGAACUUAAGCAUAUCAAUAAGCGGAGGA
rnacentral:misc_RNA from 1 species